CCGGCCACCUUUUCUCUCAUUCUUUUCCCACUUGUCCAAUGUGGUGCUGCCCCCAGAAGUUGCUGGACUGCAUCUCCCAUCAGUCCCGUCAGUCCCGGUCAGCAUGGCCAAUGCUCAGGGGCGCAUGAGAGGUUAUAUCUGUAGGGCAGCGCACUGCCUACUUCUGUUCUUUAUGAGCUCUGCAAUGCAUCAAUGGACCCUAAAUUCUGCAAACAAAUACCACAUGAAGAAUUAGAAGGAGGGAAAGAAAGAAGAGCACCUUUAAUCACCCUAGUCAGCCACCAGAGUCUCUGCUGUCCCUGGUUGAGCCGUAAAGUCUCAAGCUUUUCAGUCCUGCACAGAAGUCAGCCUUGACAGAGCAAUUUAUCAGUAGAGUAAGUAUUCACUAAUAUGUGUAAUAUUAAUGGCCAUCUCCUUUUUAUGCAUUUUGGGUUUCUUCAUAUCAAAUUAAACCUUCACAUAUCAUACAGCGGACUUCUCACGCCAACUGAGUUUUCCCUAAGUAGAAACUCACAGGGAGGGGGGAAGGUUUGAUGGGCAAAGGAAAUUGACCAUAGCUUUCCCUCUGACUAUAAAUUAUAUGCAGUUCAUAGAUUAGUUGCAUGCUGUGCUUGGGGACCGUUCCCCAAUGCCUGUGUAUAAUAAUAGGUUGCGGCACCAGGAAUUCCCGUAUCCCUUCAGCGACAGAGGGCAAGAUUUUAGAAAAAGCUUUUACAAUUUGCUUAUACCGCAGAGGUUACACUUUUUUGAAUGUCAUUUCAUUUCUGUUUAGGAGUCAUCUUGUGGGAAAGGCACCCAAAAAACCUACAGAUUGUUUGACCAAACAUUGCACUUUCUAGCUCUGUCUGUUCACAUCCAUAUCACACUAUAUAUAUAAACCACAAGGCUCCCCCCCCCCGAGUCUUGGGAACUGUAGUGUGUUAAGGGUGCUGGGAAUUGUAGCUGUUUGAGAGGUAAACGACGACCCUUUGGAAAUGUGCUUUAAGUGCACGGUGCAGAUGCUUAAAUCAAAAUGUGCCCUAUUACCUAACAAACCCGGAUUUCUACUUCACUAGGGACCAUGCGCAAACCAGGUUGGUUUCUGCAAAAUUCAUAGAGCCAAAAUUUGCACUGACUUUGACCAGGUUAUACAACGUUCCCAGGGUACAUACUUUUAUAGCUACACCUGGUCACCGGGUGGUUUACAAAAAAAGAGUAGGGUAGCAUAAUACAUAACAAAUAUUAAAACAUUCUCAUGAAUCACAUGUUGUGUUAUGCCAUGCUCCCAUGGCAGAUGUUUUUUGACUGAUGUCCACAGCACUUUGUCAAAAUUCAAAAUGUUCCCGGUGAUCCAGAAAGGUUGGCGGCCCUUGCACUGGUGUAAUGAUGCAUGCAACCCUAAGUAUGGUACCCACCUUGAAACUUUAAGAUUGGGCAGGCCACCCUAUAAAUAUAUAUCUGCUUUGCCCUAGCAUUGCCAACCUGCAGAAGCAGUGACUGCUAGUUUUACAUGAAAGUACCACCAGAAAAUGGGCAUAAUUUUAAAAAUAACUGACAGCUUGUCAACUGGCCGUACGUGAUUAACGGGUGUGGGGUGCGGACUCUAAUUCAGCCACAACUACUGCCGUAGCAGCCAGAACUGAAAUCUGCAUUUGACACAGUCUGAAUGCAAACAAUGUUAUUAUCCCAUCGCUGUGAUUGUCUCAAGUCACAGCUCGGCUCUGUGGAUUACCUAUGAAUGAGUGGAGCUGGUUUUCUACCUAUAAGGUCCAACAUGAAGCAAGGGCCCUGCUUCUAAUCCAAGCAGGCUGAAUUCUUUAUCUGAAGCAAUGCCAACCAGUUGGAACGUGGUUUUAGGAUGAGACCCCAUAACAGUUCAGUAGCUGCUAAAUAAAAUCCCACCAUGUUUUCAGUGGGCCAGUUUGGAUCAUGUCUUCCUGGAAGUAUCCACAUUGUUCAGAAAUCUGGAGUGGGUGUGGGGACACCUGUUUAUUCACAUAGAACAUCUCCUCUGCCAUUCAGAAAGCUUUCACGACACUUUGCUUGACUAUACUGAACGAGAGAAAUGGGGGGCAAAUUGUUCCUGGAUAGGAUAGUCAAGGUAGAGAACUGCCAGGCACUUAAUGGAAAAGCACUCAAGCCCAGCUUUGGCUCUAAACAUUAAUCUAGCCCAUAAUAUUCUUGGAAGCAACUGGGCAGCCCCUGUUUCUACAUGGACCGGUAUUGCCAACAUCACCGCUAACUGUCCUUGGACCCAUGUAUCCUUUUAUCACUGUCUCAGCCGUUCACUGCUUUUUAUUUUACUGGUGAACAAACUGCUUGCAAUUGAAUUAAGCACAAACAACUAAUGUUUUGCUGUAGUAACUCAGAAUUUCAUUCAAGAAACAGUUACUGAUUCACUGAUGGAUUAAGACCCUGCUUGCAUAAUUAAACUUUAUUUUUUCUUGCAAGCUAGCAUUGCACCCUUCUUAGUAAAAGGUUCAGCUGAGAAUACACUCUUAAACAUGCCUAUAUUUAAUUUGAUGUAAGAAUUGGACACCUAUUCUCUUAUCUGUUCUGUAUUGAUGGGCGGGCACACCUUUUGUGUUGCUGUCUCCUUUUCUGCUCUUUCAUAUGUGGCAGAGGUUCAGCAGAAACAGAACUUUCUCUCUCUCCCUCUAUGCCCCCUUUUCAAGCUGGUUCUUGGAUGUUUUAGAUUUCAGGUACCUGAAGGAGUAUGUUUCACUCCAUACUGCCCUGAGUUGCAGUAAACAGUUUUGUGCCAGUGACUGUUUAUUUGUUUCAUUUAUUUGAAAUAACGCCUCUUCUGCUUUUUACUUCUGCUACUUUUCAUGUGUGGCAGCCAUUUUGUGUUAUGUCACACCCACACCCCAAGGCAGCCAUUUUGUGACUGGCACCCACAGAACUUUUUCAAUAUUCCAAAUGUGCCCACUGGCCCAAAAAAGGCCUCUCCUAUAUCGCUGGUGGUUGCUUGGCUUCUGGCCACUUCAAAUGAGUGCCACUACAUCACGUGGGAAGGUAGACAAGCCCACUAAGCCCUGGCGUCACCCAACACUGGCCAAGGAGAUUCCAUUUACCAGUCAGUUUGGUUAAACCUUUUUCUCCUGAAUUUGUCUUAAGACCUCAAGUUAAAAUAAGCUCUUGAGGGGAGGCAUUACAUGAGGGGGUAUCUAAACUUAUUUUCUAUUAAUUUUUUAAAAAUAUCAAGUGUUAGCAGAAUAUAUAUAUAUAUAUAUAUAUAUAUAUAUAUAUAUAUAUGGUCAAAGUCUUGUUACUAUUUCACAAAAAAAGAAGCGUUUCAAUCCAUGCCUAAUGUGACUAUAUAUAUUCACUCUAGUAAACCUGAAACUGCAUGAUUUGUUGCUCAUGCAUAUAUCUAUAUUCGGGAAAGUGGGUAAACACUGCACAGAGAAUAUUUUGUGCUUCCCUGGUCUUGGGCAGAUUAGCAGAAAUUAAAUUUCACACUAAUCUGCCCAAGACCAUGAGUGCCACAUUAAGAUCUAGGGUACUCAGUUAAUUGUAAAAAAAAAAAAAAAAGUCCCUCCAUUUGUGCUCUUUGUAAAACUUUGGCUAGAGCUUUCCCCUCUUCCUGGAAAGAGAUGCCAUGUUCAGUGAUUGCGGACUGGAAAUCUGUCUGCCCAUCCCUUCAUGUGUGUCAUUUUAGAUGUCUUGGUCCUGAAACAUUCCCUUUCUAGCCGGCCACACACAUCCCCUAGGGCUCAUCUCCCUUCUGACCCUUUCCUAUCUCUGGGGCACAGGGGGCUUCCUUCAUUCCUCAUUUAUUAGUCAUUUAGUCGUGUCCGACUCUUCGUGACCCCAUGGACCAGAGCACACCAGGCACUCCUGUCUUCCACUGUCUCCCGCAAUUUGGUCAAACUCAUGUUAGUAGCUUCAAGAACACUGUCCAACCAUCUCGUCCUCUGUCGUCCCCUUCUCCUUGUGCCCUCAAUCUUUUGUCAUAUGUCUGUUGUCUUUGUCCAUGGAGUUUUCUUGGCAGGGAUAAUGGAGUGGCUUGCCAGUUCCUGCUCCAGCUGGAUCAUGUUUGGUCAAAACUCUCCACUAUGACCUGUCCAUCUUGGGUGGCCCUGCACGGCAUAGCUCAUAGCUUCUCUGAGUUAUUCAAGCCCCUUCGCCACGGCAAGGCAGUGAUCCUUGAAGGAUCACUCAUUUAUAUUACUCUGCAAUGAUCUGAAAUGAUGCUCAUUUAUAUUACUCUGCAAUGCUAUGUGUGGGGAGGGGUAGUACCUCUGGUGAGGGACAUGUUGUGCUCCUUCUGGGGGUGUUUGUCCACCUUCAGUCCCCACCCUGCACUCAGCUCUCUCACCUGCAGCUCCUAGAAGCUGUCAGCAUGCAACAGCGGCCAUAUACUGGGAGCGGCUUUGACUGCCUGGCUAAACCAGGGAGGGUAGCCGAUGGGUCUCAAGCCUUGGUGAGUUAAGGACUUCCCGUGCGUGAGAAGAUAGGCUCUGGCAGAUGGAACAGACGAGACCAACAAGGGUUACUGCUUGGGCUGUAGAGAGAAGUGAGGGGCAGAUGGGGCUCAUCAACCUGGGAAGGUAACCCAUCAAGGAGAAGGAAAACUCUGGUCCUAAACCUCCGCAGGAGUAAACCCUACACAAUGGUGUAAAGGUCAUAAGAUGGUUGGGUGGUGCCUUUUAUGCUUCCUUCUGACAACCCCUGCAGCCAAGCUGGUGCUAAACAUAUUGCUUAGGGCUGACAUACACCCAGAAUUUCCCGGACACAGUCGGUGUUCAUCCCUCGUAAACAGCGUCCAGGUGGAAAUCGCAGAAAUGUCCACUUUCCUUUGGACUACAUCAAUGAGGUCUUGUCAUCUGGGCAACCCAGGACCUCCAUACACACUGCCCAGGCUUACACGCCGGGGAAGACACUUUGGUGCUGCUAAUGCAACAGCUUGACUUCACACCUAGACAUGCACCCCAUGUUGAUGGAAGCCAACAACAAUGCUAUAUGCAGACACACCUGUGCAGUGUUAAUAUUUGUGCAUCUGUAUGUACAAUGUUAGGAGGCAAUCUAAACCCUGCCUGCUGACUGGCAUGGCUUCACAGGGCAGCAGAGCCACAUCCAUAGUUGUGCUGGGCACAGCAACCAGGGCAGAAGAGGGGUGCAGGAUGAUUGCUGAGCCAGGCUGGAGGUGGAACACCCAUUGGGACCAGAUGAGGCCUAAUACCAUAACACACUGGCAUUUGUUAGGGAGCAAUCCAGACCCUGGCCACCAACCAGCAGGGAUUUUAAAGAAUUUUGUUUUGCUCAUUUUUAAAAAUAUAUAAUCUCUUUUAUACUGUAACCCACUCUAGAAUGCUUAAGGGCCGCAGCUCAGUGGGUGGCGCUGUGGUCUAAACCACUGAGCUUCUUGGGCUUGCCGAUCAGAAGGUCAGUGGUUCGAAUCCCCGCGACGGGGUGAGCUCCCGUUGCUCGGUCCCAGCUCCUGCCAACCUAGUAGUUUGAAAGCACACCAGUGCAAGUAGAUAAAUAGGUACCGCUCCGGCGGGAAGGUAAAUGGUGUUUCCGUGCACUCUGGUUUCUGUCAUGGUGUUCCAUUGCACCAGAAGCAGCUUAGUCAUGCUGGCCACAUGACCCGGAAAGCUGUCUGCAGACAAACGCCGGCUCCCUCGGCCUGAAAGCGAGAUGAGCGCCGCAACCCCAUAGUUGCCUUUGACUGGACUUAACUGCCCAGGGGUCCUUUACCUUUACCUUCUAACCCACUCUGGAAUGCUUAAGGGCUGCAGCUCAGCCAGCAGCACCUGCAUGCAAAAGGUGCAAGGUUCAAUCCCUAGCAUCUCUGGGUACACCUGGGAGAAAUCUCUGCCUGAAAUCCUGGAGAGGAGCUGCCAGUCACUGUAGACAAUACUAAUAUAGAUGGGCCAAUGGAAUAAGUCAGCUUCCCAUGUUGGUUUCUAUGCUGGCAUCAGUACCAGUGAAGGGUGGGCUAUACAUUUUUAAAACGAAUGAAUGACCAAAAUGGUUGCUUUUAAAUUGUGGCAACUUGUCCUACCACUGCUGAGUGUAUACUAUGGGACCCCCAUGUUUUUCUUUCCCUGAUGAUGUACUACUUGUUACCAUUUCUGGAGUGAGUCAUACACACCUUUUCCAGCAACAAGUUCUACUGAAUCCAUUUGAUUUCUGCGAGAUGUAACCUGAAAUGUGCAUUAAGGUGCUAAUAGGGUGUAUACGGUUGGUAUCGAGUUUUCGUGAUGAGUUGCGUGGAUGUUUAUCUGCUUUUAUUAUGAAGCCCAGCACAAAUCCUUAAGCAGAUACUCCAUUCGAGCUGAGAAACGAGUCCUGACAGUUUACUGCAAGAUGACAAAUGAAUGCUGACAUUUAUUCUUACAUGUUUAUAGAUCAGUCUAAAGGUUAAGAGUCGCUAAUGUGGGCAAUCUGAAGAAUCCAUAUACAUAAACAAAAUAUUCAUUUCAGGAUAACCAUAUACGUCCAACGCCAUUCUCAAAAGAUAAAAGUCAGAUUAAGGAGAGAGGGAGGGAAAAUGCAAAUUUAGCAGUAUAAAUCUGUCCGCUGAAUUGCUUGAUUGAUAGGUAGUGUGAUCAAAUCCCUUUGUCAUUUAGUUUAAAAACAAACCAUUGACUGGAACAUCCCUCAGUAAUCAGGAGCGUCUCUUAGCAUAACCCCACCCGCGAUUAUUACAAUCGCUUGCCAGCCAAUGAUUCAGGCAUUCCAAUUACUCAACUGCCAAGGCCACUAGCAAAUCGGUGGUCGAAAAAAGAGGAGAAAUUCUUCUCUGUUUGGCAAGACCAGCCUCCCUUCCUUUUGUUCCUCAAAAUAAAAAGGCAUUCUAAUAUUAAAGCUAGCGCCAUACUGCUUGCAUUCAGACAUAAUGCUAAUGGAGCAAUCUUAGCCUCUGAGCCGCCAUGCCGGAACAGGUUUGGAUGAGGCAAAGGUGUCCCUUUGCCCAGUCCUGCCUGCAUCUUCUGGCCUCUGGCAGUGGGGCACCUCAGCUGUUGCCACUGCUGUACUGAAACCCAGUGGAGCCUGCCCAAUGGUAGGCAAAAGGAAGCUAUCACCAGUGAGUGGGGAGUAUCCUGCAAAAACUCCUGAAACCGGGUGUUUCAGGGGAAGCACUGGCAUGGCCCAAGAUCCACUGGAUUUUGGGUUGGUCUUGCUGUCAUCACGUGACAGCAGAGGACCUCUUUAUCACAAUUUAGGCCUCUGCAACUACACUAGCCUGGGAGCUGGAAGAGUAAAGGCGUUUUCCCCCUGCCCUUCAACUUCUACUUUGGCUAGCACAAGUGGUGGACUGUGGAUGUGGUAGAAACCACACCCACAGAAUUUUAGCAUUUUGAAGUUUGGGCUGCUUCCUUAACUAUAGCUUCAGCUUUUUCUUUUAGUUAACCACAGUGUGUUGCGUCAUUAUUAACUGUGAUUAAUAUAAAACGAGCCAACAUCAAACCAUGGUUUGCAAAUGUCUGUUAAACUAACCAUUGUUAAUAUUGACCACAGUUUCUGGUUCAGGCAACACGGCAAACUGUGAUUAACUAAAAUCUGCAGUGAAGCUUCUGAACUCUCAUCCUUGUGGGAAGGGAAGGAGAGUAUGUGAGCCUUCAGGAAGGCAUGAGGCUUGCUUAUCCUUCACUACACCAUGGUUUAGAAUUAUGUUCAGCUAUUGGCCCGGUUCAUAUAUUACUCUAGCCAAAACAUGGCGGUUCCUAGGGAAGAGAUUGUGGUUCCUCCACUGGUCUUCUUGCUGCUGUGCUGCUAUGAGCUAAGCCAUGGUUUGGCUUUGUGUGUUAUCCACACCCAGCUUAAUUAUUUUUUCUUGCUUCAGAUGAACGAUGACAUGUAACCAUGGUUUGUUCUUUUAUGGAGCUGUCCCCAGUUGGCAAGCUUAUUAAUGAAUGUAAUUGUUGCAGAUCAGGGCAGGUUUUCCUACACCUGUCCUCUGCUGGCGUGAGAAUUAUGUGCAGAAAGCUUUGGAUACCCGAAUGCAUCAUCUGGGCUGUGUAUAUACUGUAUAUAUACUGUUUGGGAGGAUAGGAGACUUAACCAAGGUACACAGCAAAAAACAGUGCCUAUUACUGAAGGGGCCUCCAGCCUAGCUGUUGCUGUUUCUCACUGAUUUACAUAAGAAGACAACAGUUGCACAAUGAAAAGCAGGCAAUGUCAAACACAGAAUGUGUGGUUUGCAGAGUAUAUAAAUGUAAUAGAAUCCUCUGAAAGGUCAAGAAGACUCUUUUGGCGUUCUUUUAAAAGCUGCAAUUGAAGCGAGUGAGUCCAUGAUUCAUUUCAAUGGGAGGUGUGUUGGUAUUAGCCAAGGUCCUCAACGCCUGACCUGAAUUUUUAUGGGGAAUUUGUAAGAUGAAGUAGGUAAUUCCCUCCAAGAAAGAAGUGAGAAUGGUCUUUGGUACACGUGGUGGUAUUAACUUCACUCCGGCUUCUGAUAGCUGCCUUGUUCGCGCUUCCAGAAUGCUAACCAUUUGCAUCAAAAUGUUUACUGUAAUGAAACAAAUCAUUUCGGUUUUAUCAGCGACUGGAUCACAUCUCUCAUUCAACUGCUGCUGAUUGCUCCAAACGUCUAUAAAAUGUGCUUGAACUCUGCCUUUCAAUAUCAGUUCAGAAGCCUGAACUGUAUCUUUAUGAGGGCAAUGCCAGAAUAACUUGCAAAUGCUACAGGGACAAAGUAACACCACAUUUCAUUUUCGUUUUAUUUAUUUUUACUUUUUCACCUUAUGGGACAAGAAAAAAAAAGGGGGGGAGAAAAGACUUAUAAUUCUCCUUCCCAUUGGUUAUUGGCAAAGAAACCCAAAACAAAACUCUGGCUUUUUAACCGUUUGAAAAAGAACUCUACUUUAAUAGGGCUGCUUAGGAGAGUGAUUUCCAUUUCUUGCGGCCUGAGGAAGGUCGUCGUUAGAAUUACGUAUGGAUAACUGUGAUUUUCAACUGAUGCGGCUUGUCAGAGAAGUGCAAAAUAAAAACAGAGACAGGAGGAGACAUAUUUUUAGGAUAGACCCAUAAGGACAAUAUGUGCCACUGUUAGUAUAGCUAUUUCAGUGGUGUUUAGGAGUUUACUUCCUUCUGCUGAUAACCUCCAGCUAACCUAAUAACCUAAGCUUCUAAUGGCAGAGCCUCACGGGGGUAUUGGCGAAGGUAAGAGAUGGGGAGCCCCAGGCCAGAGGUCUGAAUGCAGCCCCCCACAGACCUCCCUAUCUGACUUCUCCCAGGCUACACAACCUGGGCCGCUACAGCUACCUCUUUGCCUUUAACCCUCCCUAAUGUUUUUGCCUGUCUGUUAUGUGUCUACUGUCGGUUUGCAAGCCCCCUCCACCGAGGCUGGCCCCUCUCACUGUCCUCGGAGCUUGCUUACCGGUAACCUCCUCUGGCUGACAUCCAGACAGACCAGGGAGAUUUUGAUAGGCGACAUUUUCCCAAACAUGGGGAAAUGCACAACCCCUCCCUCCUGCUUCCGCAGGGGAAAGAAAACAAUUCAGAAAUCUAUUUACAUGAUGUUUAUUUCUGACAUUACAGCACUAGAGAAAAGCACGUCCUUUCAGUUCAGUUCUUCUAGCAAGUCUGACAAACUUCCUGAACAUGCGCAAAUGGAAGGUUUCAGAUUACACUCUUCACAGAGACUUUUCCAGCCUGUGAACUUCCUGGGAAAUUCUUCUUUCCCACAGAUAGGCACAUCAUGUGAUGUCAACAAUCUGGCUGUCUGCAGCUGUGAUGUUUCCAUAUACUGACAUCUACAUCUGUUAUGUAGGCCUUGCGUUAUAAGGACAUUGUGUUGCAAGUUUUCCCUCCCCUGAAAAUGGUAACCAAUGAAGUGGGCUGGUGUGGGUGUUGGGAAGCACACAAUGCUUGCAUCACUUUUUGUUUUUUGUAUCACUACAUAAUGCAAGGUGCAGAAGAGAUAUGGGGCAGCAGGUAGGUUACAGCCUGAGGAUUUCAUCGAUGCAUUUUUACACGGGAAUAAGUCUCAUUGGACUUAGAGGUGCUUACUCCUGUCCUGAGUAAACAUGGACAGCAUCAUACUGUUUAUUUUAACCUGUCAUGAAGCAAAAUGGAUAUAAUACAAGGGAGGCCUCUGAAGUGCCCCCCGCCCAUUCACUCUAAAGGUGCAUUUCCCAUUGAACUGUAUGGAUAGUGUUGCCACUCCUGUUAACAUUGCUGAAGAAAUACAACCUGUGCUGUUAAUAAUGAUUGUGCAACCCGUACAGCACAUAGGCGACAAUUAUUCACACAAUUAAUAUUCUUGUUUAAAAAUAAUUUUUUCACCAUUUAUCAGAUUUGUGAGAAUAAGACAACUACUUACGAAGUGCCAUGAAAACUUAUAAGCUUUUUAACUUGCAGUGUCAGAUUUUACUAAGUUCUUACAACUUCUUGACUCAAUUUUUGUUUUUUCUUGUUUUUUAGGUAAGUUCAAGAAGAAGGUAGGUAAGUUCAACUAUGUUCCCGGUAGCUGUGAAGUGCAGAUGGAAGACAGGGUGCCAGCGUUCUAUGCCCGUUUCGCCCUAGCAGUCCAUAAAGUUGAAGAGCUGCUAUUUCUCCUCUGACAGGGCCAAUUUAUUGCUCCCUGAGCACAGUUUUCUGGGCUUCCUCAGUAGUCUCGAGCCAUUAAUGUGACUAUUAGUGCUAAAUGUAGUUAUAGAAACAAUUUCUUGGCUUAAGUAUAAAGAUCUGAAUAGCUUAGCUAUCAGACAAACAGAUCUUCAGAAACCUACAGUAUAUAAAAAUGGGAGGGAUGUAUAGCAGACUUAACUGCUGGCCUCCCUAACCUUGUAAUACUAAACCAUUGUUUAGUUACUACAUGAAUGAGCAUUGAACUUGUGCAUUCCCACCAUGCAUUCUCCUUCAGUGUGAACUCUCAGUUUGGACUUAUUUCCCUUACUCCAGACUUCUGCUAACUGUUCUACCGUCUUUCCUCCUCAGCCACAGCUAUCUUUCAAGCCCAAUCCUCUGCAUAUCAAGGGGCUUAAAUCUCAGGCAAGUAAGCAUUGCAUUACAGCCUGAGCCUUUCUGUGUAAACUGACCUUUCACUUCCCUCACAGAAGUUUCACUGUUAGCAUUCCAUUGUUGGCAUGAUGUCCCCCCAAAACCUAGAAGUUGUCAGCUGCUUAUCCUCAGACUAGUGAGACAGAUAGGCAAGUGCUGGCUAUUGGUUGUUCUUCAACUGUUUAAAGAAACAUUUCUAGUAUCCUUUGUAAGAUCAUUAUGUUACAGAUACGCUAAUGUCCCUUCUGACAGUCGCUCUUCUAUUUAGCUCUUCAGUUUGUCACAAAAUCACUGGAGGUUAACCUGUUUGCCAGCUCAAACUGACAUGUUUAGUGGAUGGGGAUGGUUUUCAGGAAAAGCUGAAGGGAACACAUGAUAUUGAAGCCACUUCCAAAAACAGAGAUAUUUCAAAAGGAGUUGUGAGGAUUUUACCUCAGGGUAAAGUUCCCUCCUGAGAGUUUGUGUGUGUGCAGUGGAUUGGGCAGAAACCACCUGAUGUGCUUUUCAAUUAUAAUCAUUCUAAAUAAAUAAAUACAUCCAGUUUAAAAUAAAAUUAAUAUAUUAGAGUGGUUUCUAGAAAACCAAAAACCUUCCUGCAUGUGUUCUUGCAGUUUUGUUUUUAAUAGAAAGUGGCAUUAAACAACUUUGCCCAAAAAAAAUCAACAAAUUUUGUUGAUUUUCACUUUUUGAAAUAGGGCAACCCUAAUUAAACUGGCCUUUUUAAAUCAGUUUAUUCUUCAUCACAUUUGAAGGAAACCAAUAUUAAUAAGCUUGUUCCCUAUUUACGUGGGGUGAAUAUCCACUGAAGAACAGCAGGUGUUUUGUAGUUCAAAGGGAACAACUAUCCCCUUCUCAAUUUUUUAAAAGCCCCAAUACAACAUGUAUGUGAAAUUUAACUUUGUGAAGGUUUCUUUUACUAGUUUGGCUGGAUGAUUAUUUGCAUUGAAGGCUGUAGUCCAAACUCCAUUUACCUAGAAGCAAGCCCUGUAAUUCACUGGUAUUACUUCUGAGUAGACAUGGUUAGGAUUGCAUUGCAAAUGGAUUACCAUUCUUCCCCUCCUCUGUAAUAAUAAAGCAGCU